ACACCUUGUAGUCUUUACAUCAUGUUAGUAACGAUGAAUUCCGAUAUUGCAGUUCUAGUAACGAUUUAAUUAAUCUAUAUUAUAUAUACCUGGGUACAAAAAAUAUUGACUGCGCCGUGGAGUACUGUUUAAAAAUCGAUCAAGAAGCUUCUCCUGGAGAGUUUGGAGCUAAGAACAGGACGAAAUCACGGAGUUUAAAUGUUUAAACACGGGCUAGUGUUAGAAAUAAGUAGAAAGGCCAAUCAUGGACAAGUCUAUAGAUUAUCUGUUUGAAAGUAUCAAAAAAAUGUUGUUAACCAUUCCAAUUAGAAGACCUUGACAGAGACGGAGAUGUCUAAUAGUGUAAUGGAAAAAACUGUGAAAGUAUUACGAGGAAACGGUUUUAUUGAAAUUGGCCCUGAUAUAGGAGCUACUCCUCUGCAGGGCUGUGAAAUUUGUCUGCGGUUGUGUUUGAUGUUCUGGCUGGAAAGAGAACGAGAACUCUAGUAAGUAAAAACGGUCUUUCUCGGUUUGCAAGUGUGUGUGUGUGUUGAGAGGUUUCAUCUGAUGGUUAUGGUAGAGGUGUUUGUGAUAAGAUAUCAAUUACUAUGCAAUUCAAGUUCUGUUGAGGCAGAGUGGGCUCCUGUCCAAGUGGAAAGUGGAGUAGCCAGUGAAUUUUGGAGGUAAUUUGGAAGGGUGUCUGUGAUGACGAUUUCUGACUAAACCUUGGCAAUUAACGGUUCCAAUUGUGAAGUCUAUAGAACUUCAUACUUCAUUGGGAGGUAAUUGGCUUUUGGUAUGUCCGUCCUCUUCGAGCAACUUGGGUGAAAGUCCCCGCAAUUUUUGCAGGUUAUGAAAAUUAGUUAUGUACAAACUUUACGUAACUGUUUAAAUUUUAAUUUGUUAUUUACUGUAAAAACUGACAAUUAUUUCCUUAUAAUCCUAUUGGCGAUAAUGUUGGACCAUGUUUACAUACGGUUAGGUUAAAAUUCGACCUAUUUUUGAAAGAUAUAAUGAAAAAAACACAGGAUUUAAAUAAUCAAAUAGAAGUCCUUGAACUAUCUUUUAUCUUCGAUGGUUUCGGAAAUCCUUUUGAUAAAGUUUACCAAUGAAUCAUGGGUGUAUUUCCAAGUACCGAUUAAUCAUACAAAACAUUUUUAGGUUACUAUACAAAACAAGAAUUUUUCACCUCUACUCUAUCAAAGAUUAUAAUUUGAUAUUUUGAUUACUUUUAAUAAGUUUGUUUACUUUAGUUAUUUAAUUAAAUCGAUUAUUUUUCGAUUAAUCGAUUACCGAUUAUUUUUAAAAGUAUAUAUAGAUUAAUCGAUUAUUUUCCGAUUAAUCGAUAAAUCGAUUACCGAUUAUUUUUAAAAAUAUAUAUCGAUUAAUCGAUCUCUCGAUUAAUCGAUUACCGAUUAAUUUUAAAAAUAUAUAUCGAUUAAUCGAUUAUUUUUCGAUUAAUCGAUAAAUCGAUUACCGAUUGUUUUUUAAAAUAUAUAUCGAUUAAUCGAUAUCUCGAUUAAUCGAUUACCGAUUACUUUUAAAAAUAUAUAUCGAUUAAUCGAUUAUUUUCCGAUUAAUCGAUACAUCGAUUACCGAUUGUUUUUAAAAAUAUAUAUCGAUUAAUCGAUAUCUCGAUUAAUCGAUUAUUUUUCGAUUAAUCGAUUACCGAUUACUUUUAAAAAUAUAUAUCGAUUAAUCGAUUAUUUUCCGAUUAAUCGAUUACCGAAUAUUAAUCGAAAACCCCAUUAAUCGAUUAUUUUUCGAUUAAUCGAUUAUUUUGCCCACCCCUAAUCUACACUACACCUGUCAAAGGUUCGUUCUGAAAACGCGUCUUAUCGACGAACAAGUGUUAUAAAGACCCACACAACUAUCCAUGCUUCGUUUCAAUAUUUUUCGAUAGCUUUACAAGACUUAUGAACGUGGCCUGACUCAUACCGACCUCUGGAUAUGGCAAAUAAGAAAAUUUUCAACGAAAAUACUCAUUACAACAAUAUUCUUUACCAAAAAUAUUAGAAUAAACAUUAGUUACUUACCUAA